GACGAACGCUGGCGGCGUGCUUAACACAUGCAAGUCGAACGGAAAGGCCCUGCUUUUGUGGGGUGCUCGAGUGGCGAACGUGUGAGUAACACGUGAGUAACCUGCCCUUGACUGUGGGAUAACUUCAGGAAACUGGGGCUAAUACCUGAUAGGUGCUCCUGCUGCAUGGUGGGGGUUGGAAAGUUUCGGCGGUUGUGGAUGGACUGGCGGCUUAUCAGCUUGUUGGUGGGGUAGUGGCUUACCAAGGCUUUGACGGGUAGCCGGCAUGAGAGGGUGACCGGCGACAUUGGGACUGAGAUACGGACCAGACUCGUACGGGAGGCAGCAGUGGAGAAUAUUGCACAAUGGGCGGAAGCCUGAUGCAGCAAUGCCGCGUGCGGGAUGACGGCCUUCGGGUUGUAAACCGCUUUAGCCUGUGACGAAGCGUGAGUGACGGUAAUGGGUAAAGAAGCACCGGCUAACUACGUG
rnacentral:rRNA from 1 species